CAAUAGCGUAUAUUGAAGUUGUUGCGGUUAAAAAGCUCGUCGUUGGAUUUCUGUUGAGGUCGAACAGUGCCGCCCUAUGGGUGCGCAACUGGCUCGGCUUCGGCAUCUUCUUGGAGAGCGCAUCUGCACUUAACUGUGUGGAUCGUACUUCAAGUCGGUUACUUUGAGGAAUUGUGAGUGUUUCAAGCAGGCUUACGCCGUUGAAUCCGUUAGCAUGGAAUAAUAGGAUAGGACUUUGGUUCUAUUUGUUGGUUGUUCGAGAACCGGAGUAAUGAUUGAUAGGGACGGUUGGGGGCAUCCGUAUUCUCAAGCGAGAGGUGAAAUUCUUGGACCUUGGGAAGACGAACAGCUGCGAAAGCGUUUGCCUAGGACGUUCUCUUUAA
rnacentral:rRNA from 1 species